rnacentral:rRNA from 1 species
GAACGAGAAAGUGGAGCAAUCCAUGAGUAAAGUGGCGCACGGGUGAGUAACACGUGACUAACCUACCUUUUAGUGGGGGAUAACCUAGGGAAACCUGGGCUAAUACCGCAUAACACUUACGAGUCAAAGCAGCAAUGCGCUGAAAGAGGGGGUCGCGGUCGAUUAGUUAGUUGGCAGGGUAAUGGCCUACCAAGACUGUGAUCGAUAUCCGGCCUGAGAGGGCGCACGGACACACUGGAACUGAAACACGGUCCAGACUCCUACGGGAGGCAGCAGUGGGGAAUUUUGCGCAAUGGGGGAAACCCUGACGCAGCAACGCCGCGUGGAGGAUGAAGUCCCUUGGGACGUAAACUCCUUUCGAUCGGGACGAUAAUGACGGUACCGGAAGAAGAAGCCCCGGCUAACUUCGUGCCAGCAGCCGCGGUAAUACGAGGGGGGCAAGCGUUGUUCGGAAUUAUUGGGCGUAAAGGGUGCGUAGGUGGUUCGGCAAGUCUUGUGUGAAAUCUUCAGGCUCAACUUGAAGUCUGCACAAGAAACUGCCGGGCUUGAGUAUGGGAGAGGUGAGUGGAAUUUCCGGUGUAGCGGUGAAAUGCGUAGAUAUCGGAAGGAACACCUGUGGCGAAAGCGGCUCACUGGACCAUUACUGACACUGAGGCACGAAAGCUAGGGGA